GUCCUAGCCGUAAACGAUGGACACUGAGUGGAGGAGGGCUUGCCUUUCUCUGCUGCAGCUAACGCGUUAAGUGUCCCGCCUGGGGAGUACGGCCGCAAGGUUAAAACUCAAAGGAAUUGACGGGGGCUCGCACAAGCGGUGGAGCAUGUGGUUCAAUUCGAUGCAACGCGAAGAACCUUACCCGGGCUUGAAGUGGAGGUGGUAGGACCAGAAACGGUACGACCCCGAAAGGGGAGCCUUCAUCAGGUGUUGCAUGGCUGUCGU
rnacentral:rRNA from 1 species